AUCAGUUUUGCUUGUUGAUAGCUGAAAACGAUCCUUGCGUCAGUGGUGACUUCUGCGUGAUGCGAUCUGCAUAGCCAAAUGUAUGGCAGUCUUCUUCUUAGCCAACAUGUUGGAUGGUAGAUGCCAUCAGAGAGAAAUGGGGAAGAACCUUCAGCUCAUGGGGUGGGACAAAACACAAUUUUCCCAACGAAAUCCAGUAGUCAGAUAAUUGGAAAUGAGGAGAGUUUAACCUUCAUUCUCAGUUAACCUUCUACCACAAUGGCUUGGACUAGAAGACCUCCAAGGUAUCCCUGUUAUUCUGUUAUUUCUUGACCUCUUCUACCUCAAAGGGUGGAUAUUUGCCUUUACUCCAGUAGUGGGUUUCUACCAGUUCAUCCCAGUUUGGGUGAACUGGUAGUGGCGGCGGCAGAGGCUCCUCCCACCCGCCCGGAUGUCACCACAGACAUCACGGAUGUCAUCACAGAAGGUUCUGCGCAUGCACAGAAGCGUUGCACGUGCUCACAGUUCUGAACCGGUAGCGAAGAAAUCCUAUACAUUAGCCUAUGGCAGUCUUCCCCAGCCAACGACCUGCCUCCUCCCCCCAGAUGUGUUGAGACAACAUCAGGCUUUUCAGCGCACAAGCUUUGUAUCCUAGCAUUCUUGUUGCUGAGGGGUUCAUCCUCAUGUCUACCUAACUAUGGC